rfam:Populus trichocarpa isolate Nisqually-1 chromosome 1, whole genome shotgun sequence.
UCCUCAGUAGCUCAGCGGUAGAGCGGUCGGCUGUUAACUGACUGGUCGUAGGUUCGCAUCCUACUUGGAGAG